rnacentral:rRNA from 1 species
AGUGAACGCUGGCGGCAGGCCUAACACAUGCAAGUCGAGCGGCAGCGCGGGGGCAACCCUGGCGGCGAGCGGCGGACGGGUGAGGAAUUCGUCGGAAUCUGCCUUUUUGUGGGGGAUAACGUAGGGAAACUUACGCUAAUACCGCAUACGUCCUACGGGAGAAAGUGGGGGACCGCAAGGCCUCACGCAGAAAGAUGAGCCGACGACCGAUUAGCUAGUUGGUGGGGUAAAGGCCCACCAAGGCGACGAUCGGUAGCUGGUCUGAGAGGAUGAUCAGCCACACUGGGACUGAGACACGGCCCAGACUCCGACGGGAGGCAGCAGUGGGGAAUAUUGGACAAUGGGCGCAAGCCUGAUCCAGCCAUGCCGCGUGUGUGAAGAAGGCCUUCGGGUUGUAAAGCACUUUUGUCCGGAAAGAAAUCCCUGGAGCUAAUACCUUCGGGGGACGACGGUACCGGAAGAAUAAGCACCGGCUAACUUCGUG